AGGAAUAGUUUAAUUAAAAUAUUAAUUUUGGAGAUUAAUGAUAGGUAGAUUUAUCUUUUCUU
rnacentral:tRNA from 1 species